rnacentral:rRNA from 1 species
GAUGAACGCUAGCUACAGGCUUAACACAUGCAAGUCGAGGGCCCGGCGCACGGGUGAGUAACAUGUAUCUAAGCUUCCUUUUACUCGGGGAUAGCUUUUCGAAAGAACGAUUACUACCCGAUAUAAAGGAUGGGGAUGGGUUGCAUUAGGUUGUUGGUGAGGUAAUGGCUCACCAAGCCUUCGAUGGAUAGGGGUUCGGAGAGGAAGGUCCACCAGAAUGGAACUGAGACACAGUCCAAACUGGUAGGGGUGACAGGGGUGAGGAAUAUUGGUCAAUGGGCGCUAGUCUGAACCAGCCAAGUAGCGGGAAGGAUGAAGGCUUAGGGGUCGUAAACUACUUGUAUAUAAGAAGAGGUAUUAUAUGAAUAAGGAUCGGCUAACUCCGUGCCAGCAGCCGCGGUAAUUC